rnacentral:tRNA from 1 species
GGGCCCAUAGCUCAGACGGUUAGAGCAGCUGACUCAUAAUCAGCUGGCCACAGGUUCAAGUCCUGUUGGGCCCA